GAUGAACGCUGGCGGCGUGCCUAAUACAUGCAAGUCGAGCGAACGGACGAGAAGCUUGCUUCUCUGAUGUUAGCGGCGGACGGGUGAGUAACACGUGGAUAACCUACCUAUAAGACUGGGAUAAUUUCGGGAAACCGGAGCUAAUACCGGAUGAUAUUUUGAACCGCAUGGUUCAAAAGUGAAAGACGGUCUUGCUGUCACUUAUAGAUGGAUCCGCGCUGCAUUAGCUAGUUGGUAAGGUAACGGCUUACCAAGGCAACGAUGCAUAGUCGACCUGAGAGGGUGAUCGGCCACACUGGAACUGAGACACGGUCCAGACUCCUACGGGAGGCAGCAGUAGGGAAUCUUCCGCAAUGGGCGAAAGCCUGACGGAGCAACGCCGCGUGAGUGAUGAAGGUCUUCGGAUCGUAAAACUCUGUUAUUAGGGAAGAACAUAUGUGUAAGUAACUGUGCACAUCUUGACGGUACCUAAUCAGAAAGCCACGGCUAACUACGUG
rnacentral:rRNA from 1 species